UACAGAGGUCUCAAGCGUUGUUCGGAUUCAUUGGGCGUAAAGGGUGCGUAGGCGGCGCGGUAAGUCGGGUGUGAAAUUUCGAGGCUUAACUUCGAAACUGCAUUCGAUACUGCCGUGCUUGAGGACUGGAGAGGAGACUGGAAUUUACGGUGUAGCGGUGAAAUGCGUAGAUAUCGUAAGGAAGACCAGUGGCGAAGGCGGGUCUCUGGACAGUUCCUGACGCUGAGGUACGAAGGCCAGGGGAGCAAACGGG
rnacentral:rRNA from 1 species